rnacentral:rRNA from 1 species
UACGGAGGGUGCGAGCGUUGUCCGGAAUCACUGGGCGUAAAGGGCGCGUAGGCGGCCUGAUAAGUAGGGGGUGAAAUCCUGCGGCUUAACCGCAGGGCUGCCUUCUAAACUGUCGGGCUAGAGCACGGUAGAGGCAGAUGGAAUUCCCGGUGUAGCGGUGGAAUGCGUAGAGAUCGGGAAGAACAUCAGUGGCGAAGGCGGUCUGCUGGGCCGUUGCUGACGCUGAUGCGCGAAAGCGUGGGGAGCAAACAGG